AAAAGAGACCUGACUCUCUCUCUAACUUUUUUUUCCCACCUAACUCUCUCUAUUCAUCUUCUUCUCCAAAGAGAAGAAGACACACACAAGCCGCCGCACCUCCACCCUCACCACCACCGCGUCUUCUCUCUUCCUCACUGCGCCACCACCUCUCCUCCUUCUUGCUGAGCAGCACAACGCCACCAGCUGCACGAGCUGCCACCAACAGAAGCAACCACGAGCAGCUCCGAUCGGCAGCAACGCCUCCGACGACGAGCAACCAGUUCCGCCAAAAAUCCCUCCAUCGUCCUCGUCUCCAACACAGCGAGCAACGAGGCUAACAACAGUCAAACGAUUCUUCAAGGUUUGAUAUUUGGGCAUAUAUAUUUUGGAUCUAAUCGUUUCAAAAAAAAAUAAAAAAUCGGAUCUACAAGAUCCGUCCCAGGUACGUUCUUGUGAUACUCACUUGCUCUAUAAGAGUUUAUUCAAUGUGUUGUUUUCUGUUGAAACGAGCUUUUAGAUUUGAAAUGGGUACUAGUAUGAUUCAACUAUAAUUUAGCUUAACUUGUUAGUGUUUUCGUGUAAGUUAAGUUGAUGCCAUGUAUGACUUUAACUUCUAUAUUUUGUCCUCUAUCAUCAUAUUAAGAUAUUUGAUGGGUUAACUAUGAAGAAUUUUAGUAUGACUUUGUAUCUUUGAUUAUUAUUCCGUCACUUCUAUUUUUUUUUAUAUUUUAUUUCUCUUCCAAAUGAGUUUUUCCGAUUUGAGAUCCACAUGCUUCUUUAGUAUAUGAUGGUUUAAAGUUUCAUUUUUUUUAGUUUAUAAAUUAUUAUGGAUUGUGCAUCGUUGAAAAUUAUUUGAGUUUAAGCAUAUGUGUUGAUGAAUAUUUAUUUAUUUCUUACAUGCGUGCAAUGAUAUGUAGUUUGGUGUUAGUGAAUUUGUGUGUGUGUUUGGUGGUUUUACUUUUUGUAAAAAUUAUUUGGUUUAUGUACUAUUGGUGUGCACAUGGUUGUCAAGUUGUGUGUUGUAUAAAAUAUUAUAUGAUGUGAUUGUGUACUUUUGUUAGAAUAUUGUUUUUUUUGUUAUUAUUAUAUAUUGUGGAAGAUGAAUAAAGUGGUUGAUGUUUGUUGUAUUAUGGCAGUUAGUUUGUAUUUUGUAUUGAUAUGUCUAUUUUGAUAAAGUUGCUGGUAACUGGUAAAGUUGCUGCCAUGUGACCAGGAGGUCACGGGUUCAAGCCUUGGAAACAGCCUCUGGCAGAAAUGCAAGGCAAGACUGCGUACAAUAGACCCUUGUGGUCAGGCCCUUCCCCGGACCCCGCGCAUAGCGGGAGCUUUAGUGCACCGGGCUGUCCUUUUUUUUAUGUCUAUUUUGAUAAGACAUGCCAUGUGUGUGAUGUGUGGGCAUUUUUUUUUCAUGAUAUUAAUUGUUCAUAUUAUUAUUUGUAUGUACUACAUUUAAUGGUAGUUUUAUUUAUCAGUAUUUUCACAUAUGUUGUAUGAUGGUUAUAUGUAUGUUAUAUGGAGGAUUGUAUAUUAUGAGCGUGUGUAUUAAUUGCUAACAUAUAACAACUAUGUCUGCAUUUAUAAAUUUAGUACGAUUGAUCUUGCUGCUUUAUUUGGAUUAAAAUAGAUUGGUACUCCACUAUUUAAGGUUUGUUAAUUAAUUUACCGUAUUUAGUUUGGGCAUAGUUUAAUCUCAGUACAUGUUUCCCUUAAUGGACAUUACUUCUUUUUUAGAUUGCUUAUGGAAAUUGUAAGCAUGAUACUAUUUAUAAUUUGACUAUUUCUCUAAUUAAGUUUGAGUAACUUCUUGUACAAUUAUUGAUAGUGGGUCCCUUUGACAUAACUUUUGACUUUUUGAAACAUCUUUUUGAAUGAAUUUUGUAUCAAAUCUAAAAAGAAGAUUUGGUUUUGAUUUGGUGGAGAGAAUUUUGAAAAUCUUGUCUAUCUUUUUGAAAUAGAAUACACCCCGCUUGACUUAUUGGUCAAAAGUUGAAAUUUUAAAUUGGCUAAUGGGUUUUGUUGAUUUCAUGAUCUUUUACCCAUGGGGUAUCACUAUAAGAGGAGGACACAGACAGAGACAAAGGAAAAAAAAACAAGAGAAAAGGAAGAACACGACCUAAUUUCACUUUUUCUUUUAAUACCUCAUAUUCAUUAGAAUACAAGGAAGUUGUUAACAAAAUACUUAUUGUUUUGAGUUCUUUCUUUUUCCUUUUUGCUACUUCAACUUGUUUGGAUCUCGGAUAUUGCUACCGCUUUUCGUUGACAUAAAACUCAUAUUAACUGGUUCUUACAUAUUAUAUCUUGUCAAAAUAAAUACAUGAAGUAUCCAGGUUAGUUCCCACUUUCUUUGAUAUAUUGGUUUAUUAUUUUGAAAUGUGUUCUUGUUCUAUUUGUUUGCUUUGUUGUAGCAAAAUUAUAUAAUCAUGAUAUACCUCUAUAUAUAUUUGUAUAUUGGUUAUGUUUUCUUUAUGAUUUAGCAGGGUUUGAACUUCAAAGUUCAAGACACGAGGAGUUGUGAACGAAAGUUUAAGAUGUCAUUAUUUCGUUUACAUUUCGUAUUAUUUAUUCAUUUACCUUUUAUUUUAGUUUGUAAUAAUCUUGUAAAAACUAUACUCUACAUAAUAAUAAACAUUUGGGGACUGUCUAAAGGGGUUUGGGGGUAGAUAGGCCUUCGGAAAUGAUGGAAAUCGACCCGAACAGAAAAAUGACAAACUUUAUAUAUUUUGUCUUUCGAUUAAUAAGCCGGCGCUGAUCCGAAGAUGAUAAGAAUGUAGAUAUUUUUAUGUCCUUUAGACUUUUAAAUAUUUUUGUUUGUAUAUAUUUGGGGGUAGUUUAAUAUUUUUAAAAUUUAUUGAUUUUUUAGGCA